rnacentral:misc_RNA from 1 species
GAAUGACAUAAACAUGCUUGAUAGGAGGUGACAAGAUAACAAGUUGUUAGACAAAAAUCACGACUUUAUACCAAGUUCGGUCAAUUAAUUCUCAACUCCUUCAUAGCCAACAGAAACAAUAUUGAGCUCUCUCUACCAUUUCCCAGCCAUUCCCCAAUAGAGCUGGAAAUUUUAUAGGAAGAGAGAGCUGGGAAAUGAGAGUCUGGGUUGAGGGAUUGG